GACGAACGCUGGCGGCGUGCUUAACACAUGCAAGUCGAACGGAAAGGCUCUGCUUUUGUGGGGUGCUCGAGUGGCGAACGGGUGAGUAACACGUGAGUAACCUGCCCUUGACUUUGUGAUAACUUCAGGAAACUGGGGCUAAUACCGGCUAGGAGCUCCUGCUGCAUGGUGGGGGUUGGAAAGUUUCGGCGGUUGGGGAUGGACUCGCGGCUUAUGAGCUUGUUGGUGGGGUAGUGGCUUACCAAGGUUUUGACGGGUAGCCGGCCUGAGAGGGUGACCGGGCACAGUGGGACUGAGAUAGGGCCCAGACUGCUACGUGAGGCAGAGGCGGGAGAUAGUGCGAGAUAGGCGGAAGCCUGAUGCAGCAACGCCGCGUGCGGGAGGACGGCUUUCGGGUUGUAACCCGCUUUCGCCUGGGACGAAGCGUGAGUGACGGUAAUGGGUAAAGAAGCACCGGCUAACUACGUG
rnacentral:rRNA from 1 species